CAGCAGUAGGGAAUCUUCCACAAUGGACGCAAGUCUGAUGGAGCAACGCCGCGUGAGUGAAGAAGGGUUUCGGCUCGUAAAGCUCUGUUGUUAAAGAAGAACGUGGGUAAGAGUAACUGUUUACCCAGUGACGGUAUUUAACCAGAAAGCCACGGCUAACUACGUGCCAGCAGCCGCGGUAAUACGUAGGUGGCAAGCGUUAUCCGGAUUUAUUGGGCGUAAAGCGAGCGCAGGCGGUCUUUUAAGUCUAAUGUGAAAGCCUUCGGCUCAACCGAAGAAGUGCAUUGGAAACUGGGAGACUUGAGUGCAGAAGAGGACAGUGGAACUCCAUGUGUAGCGGUGAAAUGCGUAGAUAUAUGGAAGAACACCAGUGGCGAAGGCGGCUGUCUGGUCUGCAACUGACGCUGAGGCUCGAAAGCAUGGGUAGCGAACAGGAUUAGA
rnacentral:rRNA from 1 species